rnacentral:rRNA from 1 species
GACGAACGCUGGCGGCGUGCUUAACACAUGCAAGUCGAACGGAAAGGCCCUGCUUUUGUGGGGUGCUCGAGUGGCGAACGGGUGAGUAACACGUGAGUAACCUGCCCUUGACUUUGGGAUAACUUCAGGAAACUGGGGCUAAUACCGGAUAGGAGCUCCUGCUGCAUGGUGGGGGUUGGAAAGUUUCGGCGGUUGGGGAUGGACUCGCGGCUAUCAGCUUGUUGGUGGGGUAGUGGCUUACCAAGGCUUUGACGGGUAGCCGGCCUGAGAGGGUGACCGGCCACAUUGGGACUGGGAUACGGCCCAGACUCCUACGGGAGGCAGCAGUGGGGAAUAUUGCACAAUGGGCGGAAGCCUGAUGCAGCAACGCCGCGUGCGGGAUGACGGCCUUCGGGUUGUAAACCGCUUUCGCCUGUGACGAAGCGUGAGUGACGGUAAUGGGUAAAGAAGCACCGGCUAACUACGUG